rnacentral:rRNA from 1 species
UUCCCCCAGUAACUGCGAGUGAAGAGGGAAGAGCUCAUCAUUGGAAUCUGGCAGUGUUACACUGUCCGAGUUGUAGAUGAGGAGUAGUCCGUCUGGACUGCAUGGCGUCCAAGUACAAUAGGCCGUCAGUGGGACAUCAUAGAGGGUGACAAUCCCGUCCUUGACGCCAAUGUGCAAGUCUAUUACGAUGGCUAUCUCAGAGAGUCGAGCAGUUUGGGAUUGCUGCUUAAACAUGGGAGGUAGAUUCCUUCUAAAGCUAAAUACAGGCGAGAGACCGAUAGAGAACAAGUACCGCAAGGGAAAGAUGAAAUAGCACUCUGUGAAGGGAGUCAAAAGGCGUGAAAUUGUUGCGAGAGAAGCGAUUCAAGUCAGCGUAGCUAGGCCCAUCAAGCGUCUUCGCUUUGGACUAGCUUUGCCAGCGGUCUUGUCCCUUAAAGAGACUUGACUUGUAAUAUGUCCAGCCUGGCGUGCACAGGCAGCCCCUUCUGGGGGCCAGUGGCAUGGCUGGUGGAAUGGCUUGCAAUCGACCCGUCUUGAAACACGGACCAAGGAGUCUAACAUGUAUGCGAGUAUAAGGGUGGCAAACCCGUAUGCGCAAUGAAAGUGAUUUUCGGUGAUUGAGAAUGGCCUGAUGACCAGACAAGCAAUAUAUGUCCCUCGUACGGCCAUUGCCCAAGUUCCGUGGUAGAUCCCACGAACAUGGAGUUGGAGCAUACAUGCUAGGACCCGAAAGAUGGUGAACUAUGCCUGGACAAAGCGAAGCCAAAGGAAACUCUGGUGGAGGCUUGUAGCGAUUCUGACGUGCAAAUCGAUCGUCUGAUCUGGGUAUAGGGGCGAAAGACU